UACGAAGGGGGCUAGCGUUGCUCGGAAUUACUGGGCGUAAAGGGCGCGUAGGCGGACAGUUAAGUCGGGGGUGAAAGCCCGGGGCUCAACCUCGGAAUUGCCUUCGAUACUGGCUGUCUUGAGUACGGGAGAGGUGAGUGGAACUCCGAGUGUAGAGGUGAAAUUCGUAGAUAUUCGGAAGAACACCAGUGGCGAAGGCGACUCACUGGCCCGUUACUGACGCUGAGGCGCGAAAGCGUGGGGAGCAAACAGG
rnacentral:rRNA from 1 species